rnacentral:misc_RNA from 1 species
GAUGAAGAACGUAGCGAAAUGCGAUACUUGGUGUGAAUUGCAGAAUCCCGUGAACCAUCGAGUCUUUGAACGCAAGUUGCGCCCGAAGCCAUUAGGCCGAGGGCACGCCUGCCUGGGUGUCACACAUCGUUACCCCAACGCAAACAUGUAACAAUGUUGCUGCGCGGGGUGUAUGCUGACCUCCCGCGAGCACCCGCCUUGUGGUUGGUUGAAAUCUGGGUUCAUGGCCGACUUCGCCGUGAUAAAAUGGUGGAUGAGCCACGCUCGAGACCAAUCACGUGCGAGCCGGUCAGUUCUGGACCCAUCGACGACCCUUUGCGUGCACGCACGCUCCCAACGAGACCUCAGGUCAGGCGGGGCUACCCGCUGAGUUUAAGCAUAUCAAUAAGCGGAGGA